GCACAACGAAUGGUCUGAGCAAGGGGAAGCUGAUCCCGGCCCUGGCUACCUGAUACUAUCAUCCAGAUGGCACAGCAGACUCAAGCCCUCCAUGCCAGAACCCAGGAUUAUGGUUGACUAGGAGGCUGGGGCUCUUGGGGACAAAAAUUUUUUUUUGGACAAAAAUAUACAUAAAUGCUGGAGAGAGAUGGCGUCUGUUAUUGUGCUCAGUUGUUAAGAGAGAGGAAGAAGGCAAAAAUAACGCUGAUGCUGUGGGUAACCCUCCUUCUACCACUUACUUCACAAGCUACUACUCUUCUGGCAUCCUCUUCCACAAGUAAACUUCAAGUCUUUGCAAGGUAAAGUGCCAUGUUUAUUGUAGUAUAUGUCUAUUUCUUAACCAUUUAAAACAUGUAAUUAAACCCAUGCCACCAUUUUUAUUAGCUUCCUACCAUCUUUUCAUGUACCACCGAUGGUGUUUUUGAGUGUUGUUACCCUACCCUCAGGUUUUCCAUAAACUCUGUGGUUUUUAUUGCUUGCUUUUCCCUGUGUGGCACUUUUUAGGAAUGCAUGUGCUGCAUUCUAGCAGAACCCACUGUAUCAAAGGAAGUUGGAGUGGACAUGGAACAGAUCCCUAUAUAUAGCCUUACACACUAUGUGAAGAAAUUGAAAUUUUUGUUCUGGCUUCAAUGAGAAGCCUUCAAAAGAUUUUAAGCAGGGAAGGACCAUGAUAUGAUUUGUGUGGUGGUUUGCUUUAUGGUAAAGACCUAAAGUCGAAGCCGAGAGACUAGUUGGGAGAAUAUUACAAUGCUUCCGGUGAAAGGUGAUCAUGAUUUGAACUAACAUGGGAGCACUGAAUUUGGAGGGGGGUAUUUGGAAUUCACCUAGGGUUUGCCUUGCAGGGAUGUCUGUCAGCUCUUACAUAAGGGCCAACACCAACUUAACAACCUCCUGAAUCUUUGGCUCAAACCUCUACAAUCCCUGGUUAAUGUGGCCCCAUCUAUGGAUAGUAAAAAAAGACACUGUCCAUUUCUGAGUGAAUAUAGGCCAUUUUGUUGUUUUUGUGCUCCAGUACUAAUUACUAUACAAUGCAAAAUCACUUUCAAGAAAUGAGAAUGCCCUUGAAGGUAUCUUUUGUAAUCAAAAAUGCUAAUUUAUUUUCAUUAAUUUCUAUCCUUUUCUUUUAAGAGACACUUAGGAUUAAUAAAAUAAAUUACAAGACACAGUGACUUGAAUCCUGUGAUGCUUAGGGAAUUAACUGAAACAAAACCUUCUGAAAACUCUGAGAAGCUUGCUGAGGGGCCCAUGAUAUGAGAUGCCAUAAACCAGGCAGCAUAACAGUCAUAUCUAGAAAUACAAGAAUAAUAGGAGGAUUAAUUUUCAAAGUCUGAGAGGGAUUACAGAGUAGUGGGGGAAAAAAUCAAAAUGACUCUUAAAAGAACUAAUCUUGUCAAACUAAUCUGACUUUUUUUUUCUACAACAGCAUGAAUGUUAUAAUGUGGCUUGGUGCUUAUUGUGCUUUUGAUUAGGCAUUUGAAUGGCAUUUUCCUCAACAGUCUGGGCAAAGUGAUUUUGUACAUUUUCUCCCUCAGGGGUACCUGGAGCAGAAGGAUGCCCAGCCUCACGGGGUUACUGAUGAGCCCAGUCAUCAGGGAGCAGUGGGUUUGGUCCUGAAUAGAUGGAGAGUAAAAUGUCUAUAUUGAGGAUCCAUUUUAUGAAUAAAAGCAGGGCAGGCCAGUCUGAACAAUGAAUAUCUACAAGUAUUAAAUUAAAUAUUAUUAAGGUAGGAAGGAGUGGAGAUGAAGGUCACAGCUGGGUCCUGUAACACACCUGUCACUCUACUUAGUUUAUGUAGUUUUGAAGGUUCAGGGUGUGGGGAGUUGGGGACAGAAUGUCAAAGGCUGAAGACCCAGUGCUUCUUGGGAGCAGGGAACACUGGCCUGGAGAAUCUGAUGUACAGAAAGUGGGUUAGAACUGAGGAUAAUCUCAACAUGCUUACAAGGUGAAUUUUUGUUUUCCCCCAAUGUAUUGAAAUAAAUUAAUCACCAACAAAGUCAAGCAGGAUAACAAACUACCUUAAUGAAGAAGGAAAAAUCAUCUGAUUAAAUUAACAUUAUCCGGUUACAUACAAAUACUUAAAGUACAAAGUUUUUUUUUUUUUUUUUUUAACUGUUUAUACCCUACAACAGGGUGAAAGAAGGAUAAAUAUUGCUUUCUUCAUCUCAUCUUUUUCAUGGUUGUGGUUCAGUUUAUAAUUGUGAUUAUAUAACCUGGAUUAAGUCAUCCUUGGUAACAAUAUUUUAUAAUCUGUAAAGUGGGUAUAUUUUUCAUAAAACAAAAGCCUUUGGGGGAAUAAGAUAAUUAAUGAUUACAAUUUCAUUAAAUACAUACUAUGUGUUAGACCCUGUGUUAAGCAUGUUUUAUUCAUGUAUUAAUUUAAUUUUUCUUCCCUACUAUAGGGAUUUGGAAACUGAGGGUCAGAGAGGUUCUAUAAACAUACUCAAGGUCCCAAAGUUAGGAAAUGGCUAAUGCUAAAUAUAGUCUGAAGUUAGUUCACUCCACCACUAAAAGAAAAAAA
rnacentral:lncRNA from 1 species